rnacentral:lncRNA from 1 species
CAAUGCUUUCAGAGUUUGCAUGGACGUGAUCCAACUCAACUCAAAAUAGUAACAAAGGCUGACUCUAAACCUGUGACAGAGAUUCUCUGAAAGGGACCAAGAGUCAAGCCAAGAGCUAAUAAGCCUUUUCGGAUCUGAAGGAGACUGCCUGACUCUGACCCUGCUGUCCACAAAGGAUUAGAUCUGAAAUCCUUAAGGGAUACUGAAUCUGUGAGAGCCUUGAAUCAACCAACCCAUCCACCAACAAACACCUGUAAAGUUUCCACCACAGUGCAGGUACCCUGGGAACAAGGCUGGGGAGGACCCCUCCUUCAUGGACAGAAAAUGCACUCAGCAGGUGUAAUGGGUUACACCACCUGGCAGAGAGCAUGCUGGGUGAGUGGGUCGCCAGGGGGUCUAUGCUUAUCUGAGAGGCAGGGAAAGCCUCCUAAGGAAGCUAUGUGCAACCAUGCUGUCACUUCAGUCAUGUCUGACUCUUUGCGACCCCGUGGACUGUAGCCCGCCAGGCUCCUCCGUCCAUGGGAUUCUCCAGGCAAGAAUCCUGGAGUGGGGAGGAUGUGAUACCUAAG